rnacentral:rRNA from 1 species
AGUAAAUUGGUUAAGUUAGAAAGGGCGCACGGUGGAUGCCUUGGCACUAGGAGCCGAAGAAGGACGGGACUAACACCGAUAUGCUUUGGGGAGCUGUACGUAAGCGUUGAUCCAGAGAUUUCCGAAUGGGGGAACCCACUAUCUUUAGUCGGAUAGUAUCCUUACGUGAAUACAUAGCGUGAGGAAGGCAGACCCAGGGAACUGAAACAUCUAAGUACCUGGAGGAAGAGAAAGAAAAAUCGAUUUCCUGAGUAGCGGCGAGCGAAACGGAAAGAGCCCAAACCAAGAAGCUUGCUUCUUGGGGUUGUAGGACACUCUAUACGGAGUUACAAAAGAAAGUUAUAAAUGAAGCGGUCUGGAAAGGCCCGCCAAAGACGGUAACAGCCCGGUAGUUGAAAUGGCUUUCCCUCCAGAGUGGAUCCUGAGUACGGCGGAACACGUGAAAUUCCGUCGGAAUCCGGGAGGACCAUCUCCCAAGGCUAAA